UGCAGGUUUCCUGUCUCUGUGGGGCGGAUCCUUCUCUCCGGUGGUGCUGUCAUGGGCUCUGUAAAAUCAAAUUACCGUUCCUACAAUACAGGAUCCGCUUAGUGGAUAUCUUCUAUAUGAGAGCCUUCUUCUGAUUGACCCGUCAAGGAUGAAUAAGGACAGUGACAAGAUGGCAGAGAGUAUAAUACAUCUCACCCUAGAGAUCCUCUUACAGCUUACUGGAGAGAACUACAUAGUAGUGAAGAAGACCUCUAGUGAGAACUGUCAGGACCCUGUGUCUACAGGAUUGGGAAGAACCCUGAGCCCAAUCACAGGGCCUCCACCUCAUCCCCUGAUACAUGAGGAAAUCAAUAGAGAGAAGAUUCUAGGACUCACCAACAAGAUGAUUGAGUUGCUGACU